rnacentral:lncRNA from 1 species
GAACUCCCCCCUCCAUGGCACUCCCCCUGGUCGCCGGCCUCCUCUCCCCUCCUUUAUAUACAGGGGCAGGGGGCACCCCAAAGGCACAACAUUGUUCUAGCCAUGUGUGGUGCCCCCCCCCCUCUACCGUUUGCUCCUCCAAUAGUAUCACCAUAGUGCUUAGGCGAAGCCCUGCAUGGAUCACAUCAUCAACACUUUCAUCACGCCGCCGUGCUGACGAAACUUUCCCUCGACCCUCUGCUGGAUCAAGAGUUCGAGGGACGUCAUCGAGUUGAAUGUGUGUUGAACUCGAAGGUGUCGUACAUUCGGUGCUAUAUCAGUUGGAUCGUGAAGACAUUCAACUACAUGAACCGCGUUAACAUAACGCUUCCGCUUUUGGUUUACGAGGGUACGUGGACACACUCUCCCCCUCUCGUUGCUAUGCAUCUCCUAGAUAUGUCUUGCCUAAUCGUAGGAAUUUUUUUGAAAUUGCAUGCUACGUUCCCCAACAAAAAAUAUGCAGUGUUGAGAUCGCCAUCUCUGAGCCAGGGAUACGGGGCCGCUGUCGUAGGCAGAUCUCCUCCUGGUGGAGAGCCUCACAUGGCUAACGUACCACUGCUCUUUCUUCCUCAGUUGUCCCUCGACACACCGACCGACACCUUAGCUUGUCCAGCCGAUCUUCUGCAAUUGUCUGACCUGAUGAGUUAAGCAACCAAACUCGCGGGGCCCCAAAGGUUCCAGCUUCGCCUUCAAAUGAUUCAGUGAAUCCGCUAUACCUUGGAGUCUUGGUCCUCUAUUUGCCUCCUGCCACGCAGCAGCAACAACGCGAUCAUAAUCCACAUGCAAUGACCACAUGUUCUCAAAUAUGAAAUGUUUCUUGGCUCGUGACGUGUUCAUAAGAUUUUCCUUUAUCUCCACUGCAAAAAAGCAAUGAUCAGAUUCUACGGAAGGUAGGUGUCUGAUUCUGAUGUAUUGAAAGUGUUGCCAGAACUCUUCACUAGCAAAAGAUCUAUCGAGCCUCGCCUUAACAUUCGCGUCACCUAACUGCCGAUUAUCUCAGGUGUACGUUGUGCCUGACCACCCCAAAUCUUGGAGGGCCACUUCAUCGGUGACUUCUCUGAAAGCUCUCAUUUGUCUCUCUAGCCUAGCUGUCCGACUGAAGUAUUCAUUAGCAUAGAGAGUCUCGUUAAAGUCACCCAUACAAAUCCAAGCCGCAUGCGACAUGGCAUAAAAGUGCGCAGAAAACGCCAACUAUGAUGUCUAUCUUCAGCUCGAGGCGCUCCAUAGAAACUAGUGAACCUCCACUCAAAAGAGUUUUGGUCCUUAUAUUUAACCAUUGCAUCAAUAUGUCCAGGACUAAGAUUCUUUAGAUCGACAAUAACAUCAUGUGUCUAGAAAAGCCCAAUACCACAACUUAGGCCUACACUAUUCACUGCAAAGCACCCGCCGAAGCCUAGAUGUCUAUGCAAGUCCUCAACUCUCUUCCCUUUUAUUUUUGUUUCCGUGACGAAGAGAAGAGUGGGUCCUUGUAGUUCACAAUGAUGCGAAGCUCUCGAACCACCUCGGGGUUCCCAAGCCCCCAGCAGAUCCAUGAGAGGCAACUCAUUGGGCCGGGUAGGACCGAUCACCUGUCUCCGCCGAAUUGUCAAGCGUAGGCUCUUCUUCUUUGGUUCAUGUACCAAGUCCUCAUCAACCUCCCUCCCAGAUGUGCUCGUGCUCGGGUCAUCUUCUUCAGAGUGUUGAGCUGCCGUCAGUAGCAACUGCUUUGGCUGAUACACCACUGUGGGUCCUUCUUUCAUCUUGAAUCGUGUCUUCUCUUUGUUCUUCAAGGGUGAGACCACCUCUCCCCCCCCCCUCCCCGUUUGGUUUGGAUCUAGUACUCGAUUUCUUUGUUCCUUGUUUGCUGCUCUGAUCAGACCUCUCUCCCCUGGAAGAAUUUUCGCUGCUUGCCGGGUAUCUGUUCUAAUCAGGAGCUCUCAGUUUCGGCCCAAAAGGAAGCUCGCCCUUCUCAUCUCUUGAUCCUGGAUUGCAGUAGUAGAGUUCUGAGUGGCCCAGCCGUCCACAGGAGAAACAGAAGUAUGGGGUCUGUUCAUACUGUAUGUUAUAGGAGUCCACCUUCUUCCUCCUUGCAAAAUCAAUGAGCACCCAUCUCCUGAGCGGUUUGUUGACAUCCACAGAAACUCUAGCUUGGAGAUAGCCUCCAUUGUUAUUAAACUUAACAAUCUGGACCGCCUUGUCGAUCAUCCGUGCUAUUAGGAGGCCCCAUGCAUCAUUUCUCAGGUUGUAGGGUAGGUUAAAAACCCUAGCCCACACCUGCAAACUAUCGAACUUGACCUCAUAUGGGCGCAUGCAAUCUUCAAACUCAGCCAGUAUGAUCGUGUUCUUGUUGAUGUGCCAAGGCGAUCCAGCCCAAACACUGUCACAAUCGUGUUGAGACUCGAAUUCGGCAACGUAACUAUUCAUUCCAACCGAACGGAAUUGCAGUCCUCUAGGGUUUUCCCAUGCCGGUCGAAGAGCAUUGCCAAUGGUAUGUAUAUGAUACUGGUUUCAUUAUAGGACCUUGCCCUCCAGCAACCACUUCACCGAAGCACCUUCAAGACGAUCAUCAAUCAUGAGGGGAGUCGCCUCUUCCUCGGAUAUGUCCAGCUUCCCCAGAGCUUCCUUCCUCUAGUUUCUCCCUUGCCGAUCUAGGGUUGCUCGAGCCGGAGUUCUCCUGCGCCUCUUCUGCCGCGGGUGGUGUUGCCAUCGCCGAUGAGACCCGACAUGCUAGUAAUCAUAGUAAACGCACACUAAAAUUCAAGGUUGCAUGCAUGGCCAACAGCUACCUAGGUCACGUACGUACACGACCGGACUGUGAACAAGAGAGAUCGGGGAAGCAAUGCACCUUAGGUGCUGCUGUAUUCCUCUUGGGGUAUAUAUGGUGUUAAAGUACAACAGAGAGAGCGCAUGGCGCAGUGGGGCGACGUGCUGCAGAUCGUGGUGAUCGUGCAUGUCGUGGGAGAGCUAUACAGCUGAGCUAUACAACUGGUGUCAGUUAACACCCCACCGCAGUUUGAGCGUCCGGCGGUCGGAUGCACAAGCUGGAAUGAAAGUCCUCGAACGCCGCCGUGGGCAGCCCUUUGGUGAGCACGUCGGCGAACUGUUGCUGCGUCGGCACAUGCAGGACACGAAGUUGCCCGAGCGCCACCUUCUCGCGGACAAAGUGGAUGUCCAACUCGAUGUGUUUGGUGCGGCAAUGGUGAACGGGGUUGGCCGCCAUGUACACGGACGAGAUGUUGUCGCAGAAGACGACACUGGCCUUGGUCAGGGGCACGUGGAGCUCGCCGAGAAGUUGACGAAGCCAGCAGCUUUCAGCGACGGCGUUGGCCACGGCGCGGUACUCUGCUUCGGCGCUCGAAUGGGACACCGUGGCCUGGCAUUUGGAGGACCAGGAGACCAAGGAGUCACCGAGGAAGAUGGCCUAGCCUGACAUGGAGCGGCGUGUGUCGGGGCACCCUGCCCAGUCGGCGUCGGAGUAGGUGACGAGCUCGAGAGGAGACGCGCGCUGUAGGUGUAGACCGUGCGUGGUGGUGCCGCGCAGAUAACAAAGUAUUCGUCUGACCAGAGCGAGGUGAGGAGCACGCGGGUCAUGCAUGACGAGGCAGCACUGCUGGACGGCAUAGGCGAUGUCGGGCUGCGUCAUGGUCAUGUACUGGAGUGCACCGACGAGACUGCGGUACUCUGAGGGAUCGGAGACGGGUGCACCAUCGGUGGCGGAGACCUUGGUGCGGGCGUCGACCAGAGUGGACACGGGCUUGCAGGCCUGCAUGUUGGCGCGGUCUAGAAGCUCCUCUGCGUACUUGUGUUAUGACAGGUAGAAGCCACGCUCGCUGCGGGUAACCGCGAUGCCGAGAAAAUAGUGCAGUGGCCCGAGGUCCUUCAUGGAGAACUCCGCGAAGAGCUGUCGUUGCAGGUGUUGGAGCAGUGUAGUCGACGAGGCGGCAAGGACGAUGUCGUCGACGUAGAGCAGGAGGUAUGCCAUGCCGCUGCUGUUGUGGAGGACGAACAGCGAGGGAUCGGCGCGUGAGCUGGAGAAGCCGAUCCGACGAGCGUACGCCGCGAAGCGGGCAAACCAGGCAUGGGGCGCCUGCUUGAGGCCGUACAAUGAUUUGUCGAGGAGACAAACGUGGUCGGGAUGGGCGUCGUCGACGAAGCCGGCCAGCUGUUGACAGAGGACCUGCUCGGAGAGGCGCCUGUGGAGGAAGGCGUUGUUCACGUCCAUCUGGUGAACCGGCCAGUCGCGAGAAGCAGCAACGGUGAGCACCACGCGAAUGGUGGCAGCCUUGACCACGGGGGAGAAGGUCUCGUCGAAGUCGACCCCUGGGCGUUGGGAGAAGCCGCGGACGACCCAGCGUGCUUUGUACCGCUCCAGGGUGCCGUCGGCUUUGAACUUGUGCCGGAACAGCCACUUGCCGGUGACGAUGUUGGCGCCGGCUGGUCAGGGAACGAGUCGCCAUGUCUGGUUGUCCAUCAGAGCCUGUACUCCACCUGCAUCGCAGACAGCCAACAUGGAUCGCGCAGAGCAGCCUGCACACUCUUUGGAACGGGGGAGAUGGAUAUGUCAGUGGUAGCGGAGAGGCUGGUGUUAAAUUUAGGGUUUGGGAGGAAUUUGCCGGCCUGCGCGCGGGUUUGCAUGGGGUGGCUGGGAGGGGGGCGCGCGUCGAUGGACGGUGGAUGCUGGCGGGGGAUCCGUGUCCUCGACAGGCGGUUCGACUGGCAGGAUGGCAGCGUCCGGGGUCGGGGUUGGGUGGGGAGGUGUUGGCGGCGACAGCGCGGCUAUGGUAGGGGAGUGCGGCGCGGCAGCUGGUACAGUAGGCGUGCCAGGCGGAGAGGGCGGUGGCGCUGCGGCGGUAGCGGGUGGUGCAGCAGCGUCAUGACGCUCAUGAGGGCGUAGGGAGCGCGGACACCGUGGCACGAGUGGCGCGAUCGCGUGAUCGAGGGGUGUCAGCCGGUGGUGCAGGGGCAGGUGUUUGAAAUGGGAACGUGUGUUCAUCAAACACGACAUGGCGUGAUAUGACGACGCGCCCGGUCAUCCUGUUUAGACACCUAUAGCCCUUGUGGUCAGGUGAGUACCCGAGAAGGACGCAGGGUGCGGAGCGGGGCGCGAGCUUGUGGGGCGUGGUGGGCGUCAUGUUGGGGUAACAUAGACAUCCAAAGACGCGGAGCGAGGUGUAGUCUGGGUGCGAUCCAUAGAGUAGAAAGAAUAGAGUUUGGUCAUGUCGAGGAUGGCAUGGUCGACGGUUGAGAAGGAAUGAGGUAGUCUGAAGUGCCUCCGCCCAGUACUCGUAGGGCAUGUGUGCAUGCACGAGGAGUGAGCGAGCAAUGUCAUUGAGCGUGCGCAGGGCGCGCUCGGCCCGUCCAUUCUGUGGCGAGGAGUACGGGCAUGACAUACGAAGGACAACGCCAAGGGAGGAGAAGAGCGUGCGAGCGGCCUGGUUAUCAAAUUAUCUGCCAUUGUCUGUUUGUAGGGUGAGAACUGGGAGAUUAAAGUGAUUACGCACAAAGGUGAAGAAGUGGCGCAGUUUAGGAAAGACGUCUGAUUUAUGCUUGAGCGGGAAGGUCCAAGCGAAAUGGCUGUAAUCAUCGAGUAAUAGGAGAUAAUAUUGACAACCAGAUAUGCUCAUAAUGGUCGAUGUCCAUACAUCACAAUGAACUAACUGGAACGGAAAAAACGACACAUGAUCGGAUGAACUAAAAGGUAGCCUAGUACUUUUGCCUAGUUGACAAGCAUGACAGACAUGGCCGCCGCCGCCCGUGUGGUCGAUGGAGGAACGACGGAGGGUGUGAUCAAGGGCAUCAGCGCCAAGGUGCCCGAAGCGCUGGUGCCACAAGUCACGCGAGACGGCGGUGAGUGCAUGAUGAGCCUGGACUGGUGCAUGGGGCAUGGGGUAGAGCUCGUCGUCGACAGAGUUACACCGAAGGAUCACCUUCCUCGUGCUUCGAUCCUUAAGAGAGAAACCAAUAUCAUCAAACUCAACAUUAACAGGGUUUUCGCGAGCGAGCUUUUUGACAGAGAUUAGGUUUUUGAUGAGGUGGGGUGAGACUAGGACGUUGUUGAGGGACAGGGGGGGUGUGGGUGGGGAUAUUGAGAUGCCCGGAGUGCGUGACUGCAAAGGAAUCCCCAUUGCCGACUACAAUGCGAGCAGAAUGACAAGGCUGUGAGGAUGAUAGCAUACCAGAGGAGGAGGCCAUGUGCGAUAUGGCUCCUGUGUCGAGGUACCACUCCGCGCCGGGCAGUGUGAUCGGUUGCUGCUGCUGCAUCGUCAGGUUGUUGAGGGCCUGGACGAGGGAGGCUUGAUCCCAGCUGGGCAUGGAAGAAGCAGCAGAGCCCACGGCCGGCGCUCCGUACAGCGGAUGAGGCGGCACGGCGGGCUGCCAAACAGUCGGCAGCCCGUAGUUGGUGUUGUUGUUGGGCGCCGCAGACUGGUGGUAGGCCAUGCCGGCGAACGGCGCGGCACCGCCAGGGCGUGGCCCGAGAAUGCCGGCGCCCGGAGCAUGCGGACGCCAUGGCAUGGGCCAGGCGUGCACCAUGCCAGUCCAUGGUGCCGGGGCUGGAGCAGCGGGACGAGGUGGCGCGCCGCCCCCGCCGGAGUUGGAGGACUGCCCCCCGCCGUAGUGAGAGCUCUUGCCCUUGCCCUUGUUGCGUCCGCCACCGCCGCGGGUGGUGCCACCACCACUGUUCCCGCCGCCGUUGUUGGUGUUGGGAGCACGGGCGGCAUGGAGAGCGGUGUCCGUGGUGGUGUCAGCGGCCUGAUGGCUUUCCUCCAGGAGUAGAAAAGCGCGGCAGCGGAGGAAGGUGGGGAAGGGGGUCUGCAUUGUGAGGAUAGGUAUGGCGUAGCGAAAGCGCGGGUGCAGCCCGCGGAUCAUGUUCAGUACCUGAUCACGAUCGUCGACAAGGGCGCCGAGGUCGGCGAGGCGUUCGGCGCACUCCUUGAGCUUGGUGAAGAAGGAGAUGGUGGACAUGUUGCCUUGCUCGAGAGGACGAAAUUCGGUGGCGAGGAGGACCACCUGGUGCUCGCUGUUCUCGAGGAAGAGGGUGCAGAUGGCGGCCCACACCUCCGCCGCGGUCACACCACGCUGAUGGAUGAGCGCGAAGAUGUCGGCACUGAUGCGGUUGUAGAGCCUGGACACGAUGUGAGCGUCGUCCUGCAUCCAGCCCGGAUCAGCACGGCGCGGUGCGCCGGUGAUGUGGCCGGCGACGCCGCUCUUCUGGAACAUCACUUCGAACAGGGUGCGCCAGUGGGAGAAGUUGGGAGGGUUGAGGGAGAGCACGAUCGGGACGUGCUGGUUGAUGUACACGCCGGAGAGGGGAGAUGGGUUGGACGGUGCAGUGGAGGAGGUGGCGCUGGGGUCGGGGACGAACAGAGCACCACCGUGGUUGAGGAGGGAGGGGGUGAGGAGUGUGGGGCGGCGAGCCGCUGGGGUAGCAAGAGAGCCGCCGGCGCAUCCACCGAAACCAAAGCCGGGCGGGGGAGGAGGUGGUGAAGGGGCGGCCAUGGCUGGGUGUGGUGGAGCAGUUGGCAGGAGAGUGCAGCGGAAGAGGUCUAGCGACGCAGGAGGAGACCGGCGUCUGAUACCAUGUGAACAAGAGAGAUCGGGGAAGCAAUGCACCUUAGGUGUUGCUGUAUUCCUCUUGGGGUAUAUAUGGUGUUACAGUACAACAGAGAGAGCGCAUGGCGCAGUGGGGCGACGUGUUGCAGAUCGUGGUGAUCGUGCAUGUCGUGGGAGAGCUAUACAGCUGAGCUAUACAGCUGAGCUAUACAACUGGUGUCAGUUAACACGGACGAUGGAAAUGGACACCUAGAACCGGUGGGCCUAUGACUACCACUGCCGACCUGACACGUGGCCGCAUGCAUGGAGUACGGCGAUUCUCCGGAAGCUGAUGUCAUGAGGCCAGUCUACCACGUGUGUCACACUAUGUCCAUGUAAACAAACGCUUUGGUUUGGCAGUUAACUCGUGGUGAUAUGCAACUAGUGGAGUAGUUUCUUAAAGUCAAUAGUACGUCUUUAGGUUUGGUUUCCAGGGUUAUUAAAAUUCAUGGACAGAAAAACUGUAGGACUAAAGUAUCACGACCUUUUCAUUUCUAUUUCUAGGAAUUUGGAAAGCUACGGCCUACGUGAGUAUGCAUUGUAGACUGUUAGACGCCACAAGAAAAAGAAACAAAUUUGUAACAGAAGCUUCGAGUGCAUGAAAAUUUUCCUUCAAAAUAGAGUACAUGAAUUCACUAAAAUAAUCUAAGGAUUUCAAUCAAUGAGUUCCAUAUGGAGGAAAAACUAAAUUGUAUGAAAUCCCUUUGAGCCAAAGAAUAAUCCUGUGAGUAAUGGCUAAUUCCACAUUACAUAUUUGAACUAUGAAACUUGAUUCCCGCAAAAUAAAAACAGAACUAUGAAACUUGACAAAUGAAUCCAUCUUUAACGAAGAGGAAAACUGCAAUAAAUAAAAUUUAUGGUAGAUUUUUAAAUAAUGUAAUGUUAUGGAUAUUGUCAUUUGCUUAUAUUGAUGGUCCAACAAAAAAAUGUGUUUGUAUAUACACCACAUUCUUUUUUGAAACGGGACUUCUAGCCUAGUGGCAAAAUCGCGCUGGUGCAUCUUGGCAGACUCAAACCCGUAUCCGUGGGCGAGAUAUUAUUUCACGGCCUAAAACUCGACGUCUCACACCCUCCUUCUUAAUUAAAAUGCCACGCGGCUCCUCCCCCAUUGGUCUAGUAUACUACACUUAUAGUAAAAGGACCUUUUUUGUUUGGCAAAUGGGGCUAUUUUAGAUAUUUGAACCCUAAAUUACUAGUAGGUAGCCAAGAGCCCAAGAGAUGGCGGCUUCACGGAAACCAAACCACUGAGUUUGUAAUGAACUAGCCGGUUCUAGUUGCCAUAGGAUGUCAUUGUCACUCGAACCACAAAUCAAACAAGUUGGUCAUGCGGUGGUGUUUGGUCUGACAUGACAAGUUAGUCGGCUCGAUCGAUCGGUCCACUCAGGACCCGGUUCCUCAAACAAACUUGUCACUACUUCUCAUGAUUCUUUCUGGCCAAUGUGUGAAACAACGAAAUUCGAGCAUUCCUUUGGCGAUACUCAAUACAUCUUACCUCCACUUGAUGAUGAUGAAUAGGCCAAGUACUUCUUCCGACGCGCUCAUCGAGGAUUAAGAUGAAGCGCAUGACUACAUCACUAAAGGAAAUCUCUUCAGUGUUCAGCGAGCUGUACAUCAACAGAGUGAAGCUUUGGGCGACCGCAUCGAGCAACUCGCCACCGACUUAUGCCAAUCGGAAGCAAGGAACCGGGUCUAUCUUGACUCCAAAGCUAUCCACCCGAAUGGAAGAAUUUCGGCACAUGAUGGUCAACCACGCGUCUUCAACAUCUCCGUCUUCAAGACGGCGGUACUCAAGUCGACACUCUUCGGACACCUCUUCAGAUGGAAGUCUACCAUGAGCUCAUUCUCAUCUUUGAGACGACCAUCAUGAUUAUCAAGCUUCAUAAAAUUCAUUCCAUGGUAAUGGUUUACAAGACCUCCUUCGAGAGCGCGAACGACAUCGUCGCCAAGAACAAGAUGCCAUGGACCAAGAGCAAUCCCCACGACGUCACCGCCAAGAAAACCAAGACGGCGACACACUAUGGAAAGAACAACAAUGCUGUGAGAACCAAGCACUUGAAUCACAACUUGCCCUUCGAGAAGCCACACGCGCCGUCCAAGAGAAGAACCGCCGAAUGUGUGAGCAAGAAGAAGCGCUAUGCCAAGCGCAACAAGAUGAAGCCGCUCACAUUGAGGAACACAAAAGGACGAACCAUGCACGAAUCCCUCACCCCCAAUGUCAAACUAAUCAAGAGGGGCAAGAGGUUGAAGACCCACCUCCAAGACACGAGCGACGACACCAUAGGCAUAAUGACGAGCAAAGCUACGGUAAACUCAAGUUUGACAUACCUAAGUUCUUCGGAGGCACUGAUCCCAAAGACUGCCUCUCAUGGGCCUUAAAAGUGGACAAUAUAUUAUUCUUCAUAAAUACGAUGAGGAAGAGAAGGUAGCAAUGGCAUCACUUGAGUUCCAAGAUUAUGUUUUCAUUUGAUGGGAGCAAGUCAUCGAGCGACUCCAAGAGAAAGGUGAAUCACCCAUCAUAACUUGGACACAAUUGAAGGAUGUCAUGGGAGCCAGUUUUGCGCCUACACACUAUAGCCAUCAUCUCUUCAAGAAGCUACAACUCCUCAAGGAAGGCACAAAGUCGGUUGAAGACUACUACGUAGAAAUGGAGAUUGCUAUCAUUCGAGCCAAUUUCAAGGAAGAUGACGAGCAAACUAUGGAGCGUUUCUUGAAUGGACUCAACCAUCCUAUCAAGAAAAUUGCGGAUUUCCAACAAUACUCCAACCUCCUCGAGCUAGUACAUUAAGCAACCAAGGCGGAGUGACAAGUACAAGAUGACUUCAAGUACUCCAAGUACUCUUUCAAGACCUAUGGUUCAUAUACUCAAGCUUCCAAAACCAUGACACCUCCAACAACUACUAGUCGAGCUCCAACAAGCAAUGACGACAAGUCAAGUUCUAAGCAACCAAUGACUUCGUAGAUUCGUUCCACUAAAAGAAACUAUAAACAUGGAUCUUCAUCCUCCACUUCCAUCCAAUAUUUCACUUGCAAGGGUCGCGGCCACAAGACAGUUGAGUGUCCCACAUGGCGCACCAUGAUUGCCAAUGAUGACGACACAUACGACUCCAUGAGCGGUCAAAGAAAUGGAAGCCUUGGAACACGUUGUCAUGCACCAUCAAGUGAAUGAAGAUGAAGGCGCUCAAGUCAUUUGUGAGAAUGAUUCAAGCCCCGCUCUCAUUGUCUCCAAGUUCUUGACACUUCAACAACAAUAAGACGAAGACCAACGUUGCCAUAUCUUCCACACCAAAGAGGGCAUUGAUGACCCACAAGUGUAGGGGAUCUAUCGUAGUCCUUUCGAUAAGUAACAGUGUCGAACCCAACGAGGAGCAGAAGUAAAUGAUAAGCUGUUUUCAGUAAGGUUUUCUGCAAGCACUGAAAUUGUAGGUGAUCGAUAGUUUUAUGAUAAGAUAAAUAGUAACGAGUAACAAGUAAAUAAAGUAAAUAAGGUGCAGCAAGGUGGCCCAAUCCUUUAUGUAGCAAAGGAUAAGCCUGGACAAUUUCUAAUAAUGACAAAGGAGCUCCCGAGGACACAUUGGGAAUUAUCGUCAAGCUAGUUUUCAUCACAUUCAUAUGAUUUACGUUCGGUACUUAGAUAAUUUGAUAUGUGGGUGGUUUGGUGCUUGGGUACUGCCCUUACUUGGACAAGCAUCCCACUUAUUAUUAACCCCUAUUGCAAGCAUCCGCAACUAAAACAAAAGUAUUAAGGUAAACCUAACCAUAGCAUGAAACAUAUGAAUCCAAAUCAGCCCCUAACGAAGCAACGCAUAAACUAGGGUUUAAGCUUCUGUCACUCUAGCAACCCAUCAUCUACUUAUUACUUCCCUAUGCCCUCCUCUAGGCCCAAUAAUGGUGAAGUGUCAUGUAGUCGACGUUCACAUGAGACCACUAGAGGAGAAGACAACAUACAUCUCAUCAAAAUAUCGAACGAAUACCAAAUUCACAUGACUACUAAUAGCAAGACUUCACCCAUGUCCUCAGGAACAAACGUAACUACUCACAAAGCAUAUUUAUGUUCAUAGUCAGAGGUGUAAUAAUAUGAAUUAAGGAUCUGAACAUAUGAUCUUCCACCAAGUAAACCAACAAGUAUCAACUACAAGGAGUAAUCAACACUACUAGCAACCCACAGGUACCAAUUUGUGGUUUUGGAUACAAGAAUGGAUACAAGAGAUGAACUAGGGUUUGAGAGGAGAUGGUGCUGGUGAAGAUGUUGAUGGAGAUUGACCCCCUCCCGAUGAGAGGAUCGUUGGUGAUGACGUUGGUGAUGAUUUCCCCCUCCCGGAGGGAAGUGACCCCGGCAGAACAGCUCUGCCAGAGCCCUAGAUUGCUUCCGCCAAGGUUCCGCCUCGUGGCGGCGGAGUUUCGUCCCGUAAGCUUGCCCCCGAUUUUUCUAGGAUAAAAGUGAUGAUAUAGCAGAAGAUGGACGCCGGAGGCCCACCAGGGGGGCCAGGAGAUAGGGGGUGUGCCCUAUAGGGGGCGUCCCCUGUCUCCUGGACAGGGUGUGGGCCCCCUGGACUAUUUCUUUCGCUCAGGAAUUCUUAUAAAUCCCAAAAAGUUGUUUCGUGGAGUUUCAGGACUUUUGGAGUUGUGCAGAAUAGGUUUCCAACGUUUGCUCCUUUUCCAGCCAGAAUUCCAGCUGCCGGCAUCCCCCCUCUUCAUGGUAAACCUUGUAAAAUAAGAGAGAAUUGCCAUAAGUGAUGACAUAUAUUGUGUAAUAACAGCCCAUAAUGCAAUAAAUAUUGAUAUAAAAACUUGAUGCAAAAUGGACGUAUCAACUCCCCCAAGCUUAAACCUUGCUUGUCCUCAAGCGGAAGCCGAAAUCGAAAAUAUGUCCACAUGUUUAGAGAUAGAGGUGUCGAUAAAAAUAAAAUACGGACAUGAGGGCAUCAUGAUCAUUCUAAUAACAGCAACAUAUAUAGAUUUUGUCAUAUGAUUUCCUAUGCUUAAGUAACAAGCAAUUCACAAUGUCAAAUAUGGUUCAGAAACUUCAUUGGGAACUAACAAACUAUAAUCUCAGUCAUUGAAGCAAUUUCAAUUUAUCGUAACAUCAGAAAGAGUCAAUAAAAGAGCUUUUCAGCAAGCUCACAUACUCAACUAUCUCAUAGUCCUCUACAGUUGCUAACACUCACGCGGUACUUUAUGGUUAUGGAGUUUCAGCCGGACACUGAGAAAGAUAGGGGCUUAUUGCGUUGCCUCCCAACGUAUUCACCUUUGGGAUAUGUAUACCAGUGGCAGCCCUUAGAACAGACACGGCCAGUUUGCAAAUUUUAAAACAUAAGUUUUUUAGCGCGCAUGAAAAACAGAAUACGUAUCUUUUCAAACAUAAUGAACUAUAGUUACUGUUCGGUGAUAUUUUGUCAUGGUUUUGCGAGUUUAAAAAUUUCAAAUCAUAAUUGGAAGUUCGAGAAAAUAUCAACUGGGUUCUCAUUUGCCAAGUGAAAAAGAAAUCAUAGUGAUGUACAGGGGUGGUGACAAUCAGACGCUGAGGACACACACGCGUGAGGCAUCUUAGAAUUUUACGUGGCUUAGUAGAUGGCAGCGUUCUCUAAGAAAAAAAGAUUAUAAAUGGGACCCAUAGCUAAAGAGGAAUAAUAAGUACACAUGGUGGAUUGAUUGGUACGUGCUGGAUUACUUGGACCAUUCGCUACUACGUGCACAUACAUGUUUAGAUGCAUGCACAAGUGACAGCCGUUGGCAGGUAUGAUUUGAACUUUUGGAGUUCGUUUAGUUGGAUAAGUAUGCAUGCGUGAUAUCCAGGAGUUCUGCCACAGGUGCGAGGAAGCUGUUGGUCAGUGGCCGUUGAAUCUACUCCAGGAUAAGCCAUACGGGAUACAUAGAUAAUCAUCAGAUGUGUCGAGAGGAGGAGAGGUUCGAGUUCUGAGGCGGCCGCAUAGCGCAACGGCAGUUCAUUUCUCACAGCAACCACGCCGCCGCCAGCACCACACACAUACACAUCUACAUGACAGCUCGAUCAAAUCUCCAACAUGUUAGGAAAUAUGCAACUUAUCUCUAUUGAAGGCCCAAGGGGCAUAUAUAUAUUACACGUGACUUGAGGUGUAAGAAAACUAAACAUAGACUAAUAAGGACUCCUAGACCAAUACUAAUACUCCUUAACACCCCUCCUCAAAUGCAAAGCGUAUGCAAUAGCAUUGCAUUUGAAGAAGUGUAAUACCAAAAAAUAAUAAUUGAUAAUCCAAAUCCGCGUCUUGAGAGUGUCGUCGUAGCAUGAAGAGUCUUCAAAACCUGUCGAGUCACCAAAGGGGAUAACGAAGAGAUGGCACAUCAGAGGAAGACACCGCAUCGAUUGAAGAUACAAGAUAAGUAUCAAGAGAAGAUGGGUUGCCAAAAGAAGAUGGCACAUCAGAGAAUAAAGCAUUGUGCAAAAAAAUCAUGGUCCACGACAACCGACGGCGAAAGAAGCUCGACGGUUAAGGCACGAUGGACGAAGAUCGACAAUGCAAAAGGAGUCCAAAAAAUCAUAUAGAAAACAACAAGGGCAAGUAAGCCACAAAAGUUGUAUAGAAAGGAUCAGGACCAAAGAAAAGGCUGAUGAACAAUGGUAUGGUGGACUCACAUGACAUGAGAAAACACAAAAUUUCAACGAAUUUGGUGGACACAGCGGAAAACAGAGAAAACUAAUCUGCCAAAAAGCUAGGAAGCAUAAACGACACAAAGAUGCAAAAUCCAUCGUGUAUGUAGAAGACAUUGGACUGUUUUUUUUUUUUUUUUUUUGAAAUCAAGAUGGGAACGGACAUACGCUAGCACGCGGUCACAUACGUGACGGUAAGACAGCAGCUAGCAUGCAGGAACGAACACAGCAGCAAAGCAGCAGCUAUAGCUCAGCAGCCGGAAGCGAUCUGGCCAGGGAGGUGAAGGCGGCCUCGGCCUUGAGCUGGACGAGGCGACCUCAACUUGGAGCUGGACGAGGUAACCCCGAUCUGGCGCACAGGUGUGAACGCAGCAUAGUAGCCAACCAGGCAAGGCGGGCUUUGAUCCAUGCAGACGAUCACGGCUGGGCAGGCGCACGUCACGGGCGCACUCGUCACCAGUUUGGAUCGAGCGAAGCAGCUGGGCGGCAGGUGCCCCACGCAGCAUGAGAACGACAGCGGAAGACGAGAUCGACCCUGAGAAGAAUAGAUCGAUCGAGAAAAAAAAAUCUAGUGGAUCGUAAGGACGAGUUGCGGCGUCCGGAGACCUAAACCUAGGCUCUGAUACCAUGUUAGGAAAUAUGCAACUUAUCUCUAUUGAAGGCCCAAGGGGCAUAUAUAUAUUACACAUGACUUGAGGUGUAAGAAAACUAAACAUAGACUAAUAAGGACUCCUAGACCAAUAUUAAUACUCCUUAACAUUGUUGAGUAACGUGAUUGUAUAGGAAAGCUAGGAUAGCGUAGGAUAUUAUUCUACCUUGCCUUGUACUCCAAGAUGAUCAUGUACUCCUAUAUAUAUGCCCACGAGGCUCAAGCAAUACAAUUGACUAUUCCACCAAUCCCUCUCUCUCCCUUCUAACAUGGUAUCAGUUUCCGGGUUCUAAACCUUAGCCGUCGCCGCUUCCACACCCGCGCGCCGCCCCUGGGGCGGUCCGUCUCCAUGACCGCCGCCGGGGGCCGCGUCGCCCGUACCUAGGGUUCGUCCGCCGGCCGUGUUGGCCGGCUACCCUAGAGAGUCUUUUUCCCGAUCCUUUGAUCCGGGUUUUUCUCUCUCUCGCCGGUCGCUUUGAUCGGCGUUUACUUUUUGGUUUUCUGAUUCACUCGAUCGGUUUGCGUCGCCCACCGCCGCCGUCGACACCUGGCGCCUCUACUCCGACAUCGGCGCGACCGGGCGGCUACUUCACCGACCCGGCGGCCUCGUGUGACAGGCAGCCCUCAAGGCCGUCGUCCGCGCACCGGCCCGCCCGUCGCCCUGCGUCAGCCAUCACCGCCCUGCUCCGACCGGGACUCUUGCAUCACCCGACCCGGCGGCCUCGCGCCAUGCGGCGGCCAAUCAUAGCCGCCCUGUCGCCCGCCGUCGUCGGCCUCAUCCAGGACUCCGCCGCCACCACGCCUCCAUCGAGCGGCGUCCCCGUCCUCGGACGCGAUUGGCUUGAUCACCCGCUUGCCGCCGCGAUCUGCCUCAUCUACGCCGCGCGACCAACCUCGACCGUUGGUGACGCGCGCCUCCGCACGUCCCGUGAAGAUCGUCCUGAGUACCGCGCGCCUAUCCACCGAUCGAACAUCGGGCUACCGCUGCGUCGCCCCGUCGGGCCGCAGUGCCGCCGCCCCGUGGUUCUUCUCCCGGCUGCACCGACCCGCGUCACCGCUGCGUCGCCCCUUCGGGCCGUAGUGCUGCAGCCCGCGGUCCACCGCCGCCCCUGGGCCGUCCGCUCCAUGACGUCCCAUGGCUGCACCGACACUCGCGCCGCCGCUGCGUCGCCCCGUUGGGCCGUAGCGAGCGUGGCACGCGGUCCACGCCGCCGUCCCGAGGCCGUCCCGCGGUUGCACCGACCCGCGCUCCUCCGCCGCGCCGCCCCUUCGGGCUAUCGCGACGCGGCCCGCGGUCUCUGCCGCCGCCCCGAGGUCUUCCCGCCGUCACCCCGACCUACCCGCCGCCGUUGCGUCGCCCCUUUAGGCCGUAGUGCCGCGGCCCGCGGUCCACUUCGUCGUCACCGCACGUCGACUUCCCGUGGUAUGCGCCGCGCCGUCUUCCUUGGCGCGGGAACGCCACCGUCCGCGCCGGUCUUCAUCAUGCUGUCAGGGUUCUUCGCCUACUUCGAGCACCGCCGCCGCACUCCUAACCUAGCCGCCGCCGCCGCCGCUCUUCAUUGGCCGCCGUCGGCUACCUCCGUAGCUGCCGCCGCCGCCCGUCCACCCCGUUCGUCUUCGUCUAGCAUCCAGCCCGUCACCAGCAUCGCCGUCAUCUACCCCGACCACUUCGUCUACUCCGACCACCGUUGGUGACAUUGGCCCCGUGCCGAUGGAUGCCACAACCGUCGUUGAGUUCUUCUCUGCUGGCCCUCCGACUUCUUCUACAUGGCGUACAGCUCGUGCAGGUCCCUAGUCUACGCAUGCCCGGUGCUGGCAACACCGUCGCGUGCCUUCGUCCACAACGUGUCCCCGGGCCUGGCAAGCCUGGUGCGACGCUUCGUCAACUUCGUCUUCGUCCGUCUACGCAUGCCCAGUGCUGGCAACACCGCCGCGUGUCUUCGUCCACGACGUGUCCCCGGGCCUGGCAAGCCUAGCGCGACGCGUCGUCAACAUCAUCUCCGUCCUGGCGCACCACUACUUCGACACCACUGCGCCCAUGCUAACUUGGCGCCCCCUUGCGCCCGCGGCUCCACGGCGACUUCCUCGACACCGGCCACCCUGACUCGACAUCGACCACGGCAUUCUUCGCACGGCUACCUCGACCACGGCUCCACCACCCACGCUCUCGGCUACAUCGACAAACGGCACAAAGGGCUACCGCCUGCUUGAGCAACCUCGUCGGUUGCCACUCCAGCCACGACUCCGCGAUGCGUCGAUCGUUACGACUGUGGGGGGGUGUCCGUCGGCUUGCCUUCGGAUUCUUCUCCAGUCUCAUCGUCUGCGUCGCUACCGUUGUGACUGCGAGGGGAUGUUGAGUAACGUGAUUGUAUAGGAAAGCUAGGAUAGCGUAGGAUAUUAUUCUACCUUGCCUUGUACUCCAAGAUGAUCAUGUACUCCUAUAUAUAUGCCCACGAGGCUCAAGCAAUACAAUUGACUAUUCCACCAAUCCCUCUCUCUCCCUUCUAACAUAUUGAAUUCAUGCUCCAACCAACUCAUCCAAAAGUCUGAACUGAUGGAGGGAGGCGGACAAUAUUUCAACACUCCCCCUCACGUCUAGGCUAUUAUAGUCCUUAGACGUGGGAUCGAUGUAGGUCGCAGAAUUGUUUUAUUUAAUACUGCGUUGGCAGGGUCUUGAACUCAAGACCUCUUGGCUCUGAUACCAUAUUGAAUUCAUGCUCCAACCAACUCAUCCAAAAGUCUGAACUGAUGGAGGGAGGCGGACAAUAUAUUUCAACACAACACAACAUUAGCAAUCACGGCUCCUUGCAAUCUUUACUCCGCGUCUCCAUUUCAAGGACCGGAUCGGUGAUGUUACUUGGUAAGUGAGCCGCAUGAAGGUGUGAAAUGCGGCUAUUUUAUUUCUUUCUUCCGUUUUCUUCUUCCAUUGCAGGUUGGUAAUGCCUCGCCUUUCAACCUGACGAUCGAAUCGUUGCCGCUGGCGUUUUACCGUUUGAUCUACAAAAGGAAUAUAUGACGUCCUGCGGCUCUACCCGAUGCUUCAAUCAUCGCCGCGGAUAUGCCAUGAUCUGAUGUAAAAAAAAGAGUUAUUGCAUCCCGCGGCUCUACAUGACGAUCUAAUCAUCGCCGGGGAUGUGUAUAGAUCCAAUAUGAAAAAAAGUGAGUGAUGACAUCCAGCGGCUCUAUAUGACGAUCUAAUCGUCGCCGCGGAUGUCUAUAGAUCCGAUAUGGAAAAAGAGAGUGAUGACAUUUACUGGCUCUACCUGACGUUACAAUCGUCGCCGCAGAUAUGCCACGAUCUGAUGUGAAUAAAAGAUAGCUAUUGCAUCCCGCGGCUCUACUUGACGCUUCAAUCGUCGCCGCGGAUGUAUGAUAAUGAUGUAUUAAAAGAGACAAUUACGACAUCUCGCGGCUCUACCUGACACUCCAAUCGUCACCGUGGAUGUAUGAUGAUCCGAUAUAAAACGGAGAUGGUAUGACAUCUUGACUCUAUAUGGCGAUUGAAUCGCUGAUGUGGACUUUUCACCGUCAAGUGGCCGCCUUGUCAUUUUUUUUACCCUUUGAUCUUUAUUUAUUUGAGUUCUGUUGAUUUGUGAUGAUCUACAUGCAAAUUCGUGCAUGCAUUACUGUACACGUACCAGCCUGCAUGGGACAUGGCAUGAGCAGAAGCCUUCCCGAGACUGCAACAUAUACACACAUCCUGAACUAGAGUUUGCAAGCAUUUACAAAGAAGGAGAUUCACUUGACAUGCAGAGGUCAACUUCAUAAUGAGAGUGGAGCACGUACCAACAAUGACAUGGCCAUCUUCACAGGGAUAAUAAGACGCCAUUGUUCAAAGUUUAUACACUCAUUAUUCACGUCGACUGUCAGUUCAUUAUUCAAUCUCUCUUCUUUUUUUUAACCCACGAGGCCGGAAUAUGAUGCAUACAUAUCCUAACCGCCAUGGUUUGAAACACAUAGUCUGCGACCGACGGGGCCGGCCGGACAACUGCUUCAAGGCUUCAUAUCAGAUUUUUGACCGACUGCUCAUGGAGAGGUGGGGCUCAAUAUUACAUGGUUGAUGAUAUGUUAUGACUACAUCUUUAGCAAUGCAGUUUUUUUUUUGUCCCGAGCAUUUUUAGAAGGGCUUAUCUUGAAUCAAAAGGUCAUGUUGUAACUCCUUGACAUGUAAACAUUUCUCAUAGUGGAUUUGGCCUCCGUGCCACCGUGGUUUUUUACCCAACUUGGGUUUUUCUACGUUAAAAUGUGUGUCCCCUGUCUGUGCUUUGAUGAUCUGUUUUAUUUCCAUGCAUAUAAUUAUGAAGGGUGAGAUAGAGAUUUUAUAAAGAUAAGAUGAUCAUUUGAUUCAGCUUAAUCGGAGGUAUUGUGCAAGUGUAGAUUCGCAGAUGUAAUUAACUGGAAUUAUUUCAAGGUUCCAGGAAUUAAGGACUUCUGCAAUCGUCUCAGUCAGAUAUAUAUAUUCAGGCGCAAUAUGGAACAUACAUGUGAAAUAGAAAUAGGCAAUCCUUUGAUAAUUCGAUAAAGUGUGAGUCUCCUAUUUCCGUGUAUUCGAAGUAAUGAAUUCGUAUACGCUCGUAUACUGGCACGCCUGCACCUAAAAUGCCAACGCAGGUAGAUUUAAUAUUUAUCUUGCGAAAACAGGUACCACCAAAAAAACAUAAUGAACUAUAGGUUGUCACAAGAACUCAUGCCAUCCCACAGCCUCCCUCCGACCCUGCCAACAUUGUUGCAGCUGCACUCGGAACCAUUACCAUAGAUGAUCAUUUGCAUGAUUUCACGUAAAACAAAAUAAGAUCUACAAACGAAUAGAAGCUACACAUACCUUGGCAUGCACACACAUUGCAAGCCAUACUAAGCUGAUAAGUGUUAAUAACUUGUACAACAUAUACAACACUUAAGAUAAGUAAAAGCAAUUUGAUGAGUCAUGGUCUACCAAAGCAAGCUGCAGUAUUACUCUAAUCUAUCUUAACAGGUCACACAUGAUUACAAUCCUUUUUGUGUGCAAGUCAAGCUUAUCUAGUUUACACCUAACAACUUGUAGAACAUUACACAAUUGAUGUUUGCUAAUAACUUCUAGAAAGAUACACCAAUUGACAUGUAAAAGGAAUUUGAUGAGUCAUGACCUACUAAAGCAAGUUACGUUACUAGUCUCAUCUAUCUUAACAGGUCACACAAGAUUACAAACUAAGUUCUGUGUAAGCAAUGCUUAUCUAGUUUACAAAUAACAACUUGCAAAACAUUACAAACUUAGUUUCAAAAAAUUAGGCAAUCUAGAUUAGUGUUUGAGCUGUAAAGUGAAUAAGAUGAGUCAUGUGUGUUAUCACAACUUUUUGGUGGUGGAAUGAUAGUGCCACCAAACACAACAUACCAAAUUAUGAUUUCAGGAAGCACCCAAGCACUUUCCAGACAAGCAAAUGCCAAUUGUGAAGGAGAUGAUGCCAUGGCAGCUAUAAAUAGGCCUAUAGCAUGAUGAUCAUCCUUCAGCAUCCAUCAUUCUCAUAAGUAGAGUGCAUCAUUCAAGCCAAGCAAGCAGUGGUCAAUACAAAUCCACCAUGAAGUCAUUUCUCAUCCUUGCCCUCCUUGCUAUCGUGGCGACCACCGCCACAACUGCAGUUAGAGUUCCAGUGCCACAAUUGCAGCCACAAAAUCCAUCUCAGCAACAACCACAAGAGCAAGUUCCAUUGGUGCAACAACAACAAUUUCUAGGGCAGCAACAACAAAAAUUUCCAGGGCAGCAGCAACCAUUUCCACCACAACAGCCAUAUCCGCAGCCGCAACCAUUUCUGCCACAACUACCAUUUCCGCAGCCGCAACCAUUUCCACCACAACAAUCAUAUCCACAACCGCAACCACAGUAUCCACAACCACAACAACCAAUUUCGCAGCAACAAGCACAACAACAACAACAACAACAACAACAAAUCCUUCAACAAAUUCUGCAACAACAACUGAUUCCAUGCAAGGAUGUCGUCUUGCAACAACCCAACAUAGCACAUGCUAGCUCACAAGUAUCGCAACAAAGUUACCAACUGUUGCAACAAUUAUGUUGUCAGCAAUUGUGGCAGACCCCCGAACAGUCACGGUGCCAAGCCAUCCACAAUGUCGUGCAUGCUAUUAUUCUGCAUCAUCAACAACAACAACAACAACAACAACAACAACAACAACAACAACAACAACAACAACAACAACAACAACCGUCGAGCCAGGUCUCCUACCAGCAGCCUCAACAAUAAUAUCCAUCGGCCCAGGGCUCCUUCCAGCCAUCUCAGCAAAACCCACAGGCCCAGGGCUUUGUCCAACCUCAACAACUGCCCCAGUUCGAGGAAAUAAGGAACCUAGCACUGCAGACGCUACCUGCAAUGUGCAAUGUCUACAUCCCUCCAUAUUGCUCGACCACCAUUGUGCCAUUUGGCAUCAUCGGUACUAACUGAGAAGAGAAGAACUCUAGUACUAGAUAUAUGAAACACCGUUUUCUUAGACCAUGGUUUGGUCGUUGUGGCGGUGAAAAAUAAAGUGACAUGAUCUAUCAUGUAAGAACCCGAACUAUACUAUUUCAAACUUGGGAAUAAAAGACAAACACAGGUCUUUUCUGCAUAUGAUUGUUUGUUUGAGUUCCAUUCAUGUGCCCGUUCACAAGUUCACCCCUAAUUAUAUAUAUUAAGCAUUAAUUAGAUGUUUAUGUGCAUUAAUCUAAAGAUAACAGAAUGAAUCUGAAACUUGAAUUUAAUUGAAGUAUUUUCUUAGACUUUCAAAUUGAGCAUUGAUAGUGAGGACUAUCCACAUCCUUGGCUUGCCCUUGAUCAAUUCUUUCCAAAUAAGCAUUCAAUUCAUCAGUCAAUUACAUUGAUUUUUGUGGCUUGUACUUCUCCUCAACAUGAGUAUCUUCGUUGCGGCUACUCCAAAUCUCCCACAUAACUGAAGCAUUAAUAGCACUCUUCCUUACAUCAAGAAAAUAUGGAUCGAAGAUAUGUCUUGACCAUGUUUCUGGGUGCAACCUUGGUAGUUUUAUGUCAAAAUAUUCUCAAGCAGAAUCCAAGAAUAAACUUGCAUGCUCACGUGUGAUAAGGGCAUAUGAAGUAACAUUUCCUCACCAAGGCCACACAUAGGGCACACACAUAACCCCAUCACAUGCCUUUUUAGUUAUGCAUAUGAAGGUAGGAUGUUUUUAAUUACUCUGCACCAAAAUACUCUUAACUUGGGUUGUAACCCAAGCUUCCGUUGCCUUUUAAAUUUUUCUUCCCCAUUAGAUGAACUAGACAGUCCAGCUACCACACGAUACCUUGUGUUCAUCACGGCUCUGUACAACAAUUGAACAGAAGAAAUGUCAUUUAUUUACCAUACCCAUGACCAAAUGUUCUCUCCUACUCCCUCCGUCCCAAAAUACUUGUCAUUAAAAUGGAUAAACGAGGAUGUAUCUAGAUGUGUUUUAGUUCUAAAUACAUCUCUUUUUGUCCAUUUUGAUGACAAAUAUUUCCGGACGGAGGGAGUACAUUAUUUGGUCGUGGCAUAUUAAGGAUGGCCACUUCACCUGAUGGGAUAAACACGUAAUGAAUGAAUGGAGUGUUCCAGUCGCGCGUGUUUUUUCAUCGAUAAGAUCAGCUACAAGUUGGACCAGAGUUCCUCACAUGUAUCAUAGUGGUUUCAUCAGCGGCGUGCCCUGCACCCAUUUAGCAUACCAUAUCUCUGUAGUAUGUGCAUUCCCAAUUUUUCACAACAUACCCUCCUUCAAACCUUCUCAUCCUUUCAGAAUAGCAUGCCAAGUUAACGAUGCACUAUGCGGGAACCCGCAUUUGAAAAAAAAAUCAUUUCAUGGUAUCUUCCGUGAAGGACCCUCGUACAUGAGCUAUCUAGAUAGAAAUAGUCAUGUGUGUUUAGCCAACUUUGUAUAAGUGAAUAUAUCAAGGUCGUGGAACCCCAAGCCUCCAAUUACACCCGGCCUCUCUACCAACAAGAUGUCCAAAGACAUCAAGGAUACACAUCCAAAAAAGAAAAUAAAAAGAACAGAAGAAAAAAAAUACCCCUCCAUGGUGAUCAAUCGCUAGCAUGCAUCAGUAGCACUCUAACCAUCACCGAAGACAAUGCCCGGAUUACAAAAAAGGUUCUCCAAAAGCAACGCCCCCAAAAAGGAAACAAUGCACAAGCGUUGUCGUUGCCCGAUCGAAGAUCGUGGGUAUUCACCUUGGAAAAAUUCCGAGUUCACCCAAAAACAAUGCCUUCAACAAGGCCAUUGCCAAGUACAAACAAUGAGGACCAGACCUUGGGUUUUCACCCUAGGAAUUGAGAAUCGAUACUCGAGGAGUACCACCAAAAAUACAUCACCCACCUCUUGAUCCAGACCUGCAGAAAAAGAUCAAAAACGCCGCAUCGUGCCACCCGUAUCCGUGGAGGCCUGAACUUGGCAAGACGCCAAACAUGGCUGGAGAUGGGGACCAACCACACCUGGCCAGAUCUGGUGACUCCUAGUCCCACCGCUGCCGCUACAGCAGCACCGCGUGUAGCAUACCAUCCCAUCUACGCUGUUGUCUGAUUAGAAGGAUACAUGGAUAUACAUAUGGAAAGGCCCACAUUUUCCCUCCAACAAUAUAAAUAAAGCUUAUUAGGAUGUGAGAAAGCUCACACAAUUUUAUACUGGCUAUGCAAACGUGUUCCCCGCUUCUACAGGAUACCCGCCGCCGAACUCACCAUCCGUUCUACACAAGCAGUAAAACCGAUCGGAUUACCAUUUCGGUUGUUACUUCUAUAGUCUAAUGGAACGAUCACUUCCAGAAUUACGCCAUGGUGCCAUCUUUUAUAUGCAACAUAUUGUGAACUGUAUUUUCUGUCAGUGAAGUUGACAAAAUAGAGUAAUACAGGGUACAGGGGUAGAGCAUGCAGGUGGUGGUUGUUGUGUGGUUUGUGUGUUAGUUAUGUGUGUACCUGGCGUCGAAGUAGCGUUGGCUGGCCAGCUGCAGCUCAUAGGCGCACGAGCACAACGGUGGCACGGCCACCACCGCCUCCACUGCGCGCAACGCCGAGAAGCAACAAGCAUGUUAGAAUUUGUCCGUGGACACUCGAUGGAUCGACCUGAUCGAUCACUCAUUUUGUGCAUACUCACCACCACACAUGGCUGAACCGAGCAUCCUCCUGGCGGCGCCCAAUGAGACCGUCCUCGCAGCGGCCACGGCUCGAUAGUUCGCCCCCAUGCGCGCGGUACGGUGCCGCAGCCUGCAGUCAAAACAGAGCACGCAGAGCACUAUCGGUGAGAUUGAAGGAGAGGAAUAUUGAAAUGGAAACUUAGCUAUAGGAGGUGAAGGCAAGGGGGGCUGGUGCAAGGGGAGGGAGACUCCUGGAGCUAGGGAGCACGCGGACGCCAUUUCUCAUGGUGCAAGUUUGUUUCAAUCUCCGAUCCUGCUCGCUGUUGAUUAUGGGUACAGUAAAUUUUAGCUAGCUACGAUGCAAACUAAGUGGUAUGCCUGGUCUUAACCUAUCUAUCUAUGUUAUCUUCUAUUCGGCGAGGUGGCUGCGCCUGUGGCGGAUGUGGCCGCUGCCAUGCCUUCCACCUGACCUGGUCAAUCUCCCUCUCCUAUAUUCGAGAAAAAAAAAGAUCUUUGUCUUCUCUUCUGAUCAGAUGGGGAGGAGAUGGUGAGAGAUGAGGUCAAUGGCUUUGGGGAGAGGAUAAGGGCGGACGCCAGCAGUGAGGCGGCAUGAGGAAGAUGAGGUGGUUAGCGGUGGCGACACAUGAGGGGAGGGGAAGGGAGGGGUAGCGUUGCAAGGAGGGGAGUGGGUGUGCGGCGUGCCCAGUUCACAAGAGAGGAGAGAGGUCGUCAAGGGAGCGAUCCAUGGGAGUUUUUUUCCUUCUAAGCGAGCCUAGUUGGGCUCUCUGCAGCGUCCAAGGCCCAAUGCACAACAUAUCUUCAAAUUUGCCACCAAUAGCAGCCCUUAGAACAGACAAGGCCAGUUUGCAAGUUUUAAAACAGAACUUUUUUAGUGCGCAUGAAAAACAGAACACGUAUCUUUCCACACAUAAUGAACUAUAGGUACGACCAAAAGAAAAACAUAACGAACUAUAGGUUGUCACAACAACUCAUGCCAUCCCACGGCCUCCUCCGACCCUGCCAAAAUUGUUGCAUCUGCACUCGCAAGUGUUACCGUAGAUGAUCGCUUGCAUGAUUUCACGUAAAAUAAAAUAAGAUCUACAAACAAAUAGAAGCUACACAUACCUUGGCAUGCACACACAUUGCAAGCCAUACUAAGCUGAUAACUGUUAAUAACUUGUACAACAUAUACAACACAUAAGACAAGUAAAAGCAAUUUGUUGAGUCAUGGUCUUUCAAAGCAAGCUGCAUUACUACUCUAAUCUAUCUUAACAGGUCACACAUGGUUACAAUCCUUUUUGUGUGCAAGUCAAGCUUAUCUAGUUUACACGUAACGACUUGUAGAACAUUACAGAAUUGAUGUUUGCUAAUAACUUCUAGAACACUACAACACUUUACAUGUAAAAGGAAUUUGAUGAGUCAUGACCUACUAAAGAAAGUUACAUUAUACUAGUCUCAUCUAUCUUAACAGGUCACACAAGAUUACAAACUAAGUUCUGUGCAAGCAAUGCUUAUCUAGUUUACACGUAACAAAUUGCAUAAUAUUACAAACUUACUUUUAGAAAAUUAGGCAAUCUACAUUAGUGUUUGAGCUGUAAAGUGAAUAAGAUGAGUCAUGUGUGUUAUCACAACUUUUUGGUGGUGGAAUGAUAGUGCCACCAAACACAACAUACUAAAUUAUGAUUUCGGGAAGCAUCCAAGCAGCCAGUUCUCCUACCAGCAGCCCCAUAACCAAUAUCCAUCAGGCCAAGGCUCCUUCCAGCCAUCUCAGCAAAACCCACAGGCCUAGGGCUCUGUCCAGCCUCAACAACUGCCCCAGUUCGAGGAAAUAAGGAACCUAGCGCUGCAGACUCUACCAACAAUGUGCAAUGUCUACAUCCCUCCAUAUUGCUCGGCCACCAUUGCGCCAUUUGGCAUCGUCGGUAGUAACUGAGAAGAGAAGAACUUUAGUACUAGAUAUAUGAAACGCCAUUUUCUUAGACAAUGGUUUGGUCGUUGUAACCAUGAAAAAAUAAAGUGACAUGCACAUGUCAUGUAAGAACCCGAACUAUACUAGUUCAAACUUGGGAAUAAAAGACAAACACAGGUCUUGUUUGCAUAUGAUUGUCUGUUUGAGUUCCAUUCAUGUGCCCGUUCACAAGUUCACCCCUAAUUAUAUAUACUAGUAAAUAUGCCCGUGUGUUGCUACGGGCCAUGCAUUGUCUAAA